UGGGAACGUGCCUUUUGGUUUCGGAACAACACAGGGAAACUUGUGCUAAUACCGGAUAAGCCCUUACGGGGAAAGAUUUAUCGCCAAAAGAUCGGCCCGCGUCUGAUUAGCUAGUUGGUGAGGUAACGGCUCACCAAGGGCAACGAUCCGUAGCUGGUCUGAGAGGAUGAUCAGCCACACUGGGACUGAGACACGGCCCAGACCUCCGUACGGGAGGCAG
rnacentral:rRNA from 1 species